GGAUUUGAGAGCAACUUGACUGGGGCUCCUACCCUGCUGUGGGUCACUAGGAUUGAUUCAGAUGAUCUGGCUGGCUGAUGGGGUCCCCUUUGCUUUACGUUCUGUGAAGUUGCACAUUUUCCCAGAAAGAGACACCAGAGAGAGAAAAGCCUUCACAUGGACAAGGGAAUACAAAUCCUGUGCCUACCAAAACCCCCAAACAAGCUCAGAUCCAUCUGUGGUUUCUAUUAAUUAAAGCAAGCAUAUUUACAAAGUCUCUUCAUAGUCUUGGGACCUGAUGGAUAAGUAAGA
rnacentral:snRNA from 1 species